ACCACAAUUUUGAAAAAGGCUAGGUUAUUAUACUCCGUGGUGGCUCAUGGCAGGAUUUUCUUGCCGAAUGGAGGCAUUUCUUACUGUAAUAAUCCCAAAGUUAGCAAUAGGGGCAACGUGAAGGGUUCCACUGUGCCUAAAACCGGCAGCCAUACAGCAUCAUUACAAAGCAAUAGAGGCAGGUUGGAUGGUACGUUCCAAACGUAGUGUGGCUUUAAAUAGCCUCUGUUUACUCACUGCCUGUGACUCGCAAUCAGCAGAUCUGAGAGUGACAGCAGAAGAGAAGCCGCAGCACUCUGCUCCAACACGCGUCCCUCUUUUUUCUUUCUUUAUCUUUUAAGACAAAUGACAGUAGCGUGUCACUCUCUUCCUCUCUCGCUUGAAAGCAGCGGCUGGAAAUCGGAAUGCCAGCUUCACCACGCUUGAUGACAUGCUACGAACGCGCAGAACACAAGUCCCGUAAUGAUGAUAUUGUCUUCAUAAAUAUGUGAAUAUGAUUCGGACUAAAUAGACUGAGUGGAGAGUAAAGAAUGUAAAUUCCUCUGCCGUCUCAUAUCUUCUUACCAAGUAUAAAAAUAAGCUGGAUUACGAAGACGCUCCAGCCAGCAGAGGCAGAUCAGACACCUACCCUAAUGUCCUGCGAGGACGUGCCAAACCCCGCACUUGUCUGAUAGGAUCACACGGUAAAUCGACAAGUCAAAACAGGGACAUUUAUGUCAGCGUGGACCGAAGGAUACGGCACAGGGAAGUGUAAAUAGUGCAACUGAUUGAACAUUUACUAAAACAAAAUGAGAGAACGAAAUUAUUUUUAUUUCACACAUGGGGAGCUUCUACAAAGAGCUUGUUGCAUAAGAAUAAUGAGGGUAACAUAAAGCACAGCAUGUUAAAAUCUACCUGUGCUGAAUAAGGUGAACCUCUAAGGUGUUUGUACUGUAGUGUGUGUUCCUGUAGGACUAUCAUGCCCAGAGAAUACAGGCAUAUAUAAUAAGACAAGUAUCAUUCCUCCUGCUGUGUGGCAGCCUUCCUUUCCUGGCAGAAGUCGCACCCAGGUCCGAAGAGAAUGGAUCCUACAGUGAGUGGAGGGCUCUCAACUGCAGCCAUCGUAGCUAUUGUGUGCAACGUUCUGGUUGCUGUUCUGAUCGUCAUCCUGUUUGUCAUCCUGUGCAAAGCCUGCAGAGUGCCCUCCAGCCAGGAGAGGGUGCCAGUAUUAGCUUCGGGUCAGGUGCAGCAGGGCAAUCAGCAAAGGUACCUGCUAACGCCCUGACGCCCUCUAGCAGCUGGGAUCAAACAAAAUUGUUGUACUCAUCUCUGGCGCUGCCAUUAUCAGGCCUUAAUCAUACGCUACGCCUACAAGAAGGUACAAAUUCGGAAACCACCUGCAAAUGGUCGUGUGUGAUUCAGGACAGUCACUAUCUGUCUGUCAGGAAAGAAGAGGCCAUUGACAGGUAAUUGUGGGAUUCUAAAUGACAGCAUUAUGGCAUAGUCCAUAGUUACAGUAUAUGAAUCAUACAUGCCCUACACAUUUUUCAAUAUUAACUUUUCAUCAUAUCAGAGUGGGCAGUUAGACAUAUACACACAUACACACAUUUUGGAUCAUUAAGGAUGAGUUAUCAGACAAGUGAAUGUAUUCCCAAAUAUUUAUUUUGUUCCUUAGGCUAGGCUAACAUUUUAUUAUUAAUGCUAGUUAAAAAAUAGACCUUAAAAAGUAACAGCUGGAAAAGACAAAUGUUUAAAAGAGACUUAAGUUUUUCGAUCAUAUGGAAAGAUAUAUCUGAUGUAUUUGCAUGGUCAAAGGUUAUUGAAAUUGAACACCAGAAAAUACUUUUUUUGUUAAUGAUAUGCACAAGACAAGGGUCUGAAUUAUUCAGAGGAAAAACAGCAACAUACAAUAAUUUCUUUAGUGGUAUAAACAUGCAAGCAAUGUUGUCAUAAAGAUAUUCAUACAUAAUAGUGAAUUAAGUAAACUGAUAAAGUUUACAUUUUACAUCCUGAGUAAGCUACUCUUUACCUUUUCAUAGUACUAAGGAUUCAUGGUAACCUGUACAGGAACAGGGAGACACUGUGUGUUUAAUAUAAAUAUUACAGGACAAAAUUAUUGAUUUAACAAGCUUAACUUUGACUGAAAGGACAUAAGUGGCUAUUGUUGAUGUCGAGAUUACAGUAUAAACACUGGAGAUAUACAAGAUGCAUAUAUUUUACUUUCCAUAAACUUAGUACCACUGAAAAAGAAAUAUUUUACGGUGGUAAAGUGAAAAAUUAUAACAGAAGGCACUUCUCUAUUCCAUAUGCAUGUGGUAGUUUUCAUUGGGUAAGUGUGACAUUGUGUGAUGACAAUGAAUAACUGGGUAGGUUUUCCUGCCAUCCCUCAGCCACAGACCCCCUACUGCUUCUGUAUCUCAGAGCUCUGAAUGUUGCUUUUCAUUAUCAUGAAUGAUUAUCAAAUUAUUAGAAAGACAAAAUGAAGUCCUUUCACUAUACUGUCCAGUUAUAAUAAAAUGUCUUCCCCACAUUAAUAUGGUGUUAUCUGUAAUGUGUCUUUGGUUGAAAAUAAUGUAUUCAAACACAAUACAGGCUGUGAGCUAAAUAAAAACCACUGUAUUUUAUUAUUUAAAUUAAUGUACUUUAAAGAUUUUGCAUUUCUUUUUUAAAUAACUUGAAUUAAAUACUCCCCUUUUUUUGUAUUCUCAUUGUAAAGUGGGCCGGUCUUCUUAUUUUUAAUAUACUGUUAAACUGCAUUGGCAUAUUUUUUAUUUAUUCGUUUUAUAAUUAACAAAUAAAACACUGAACUCUC